rnacentral:lncRNA from 1 species
AUCGACCAUCGACUGACCUGCUUCUCCAGUGGCAUCGGUGAGAAACCAACGUACUUGCCUAUCGCGACAACCCUGAUCCGGAGAUCGAGUUCUUUAGCUGCCAACGGUGUCUGAUACUUCAGGUCGGUCAUAUACCGAUUUGACUUUCCACCCCUACUCAGCGAGCCAGGGACUGUUGGCAUGCGGGGUAUUCACUAAGGACUGCUUCCGGUCUAUUUCAUCUUGCUCCGGC